rnacentral:rRNA from 1 species
CCCAGACUCCUACGGGAGGCAGCAGUGGGGGAUAUUGCACAAUGGGGGAAACCCUGAUGCAGCGACGCCGCGUGGGCGAAGAAGUAUUUCGGUAUGUAAAGCCCUAUCAGCAGGGAAGAAGAAAUGACGGUACCUGAGUAAGAAGCACCGGCUAAAUACGUGCCAGCAGCCGCGGUAAUACGUAUGGUGCAAGCGUUAUCCGGAUUUACUGGGUGUAAAGGGAGCGCAGGCGGCACGGCAAGCCUGAUGUGAAAGCCCGCGGCCCAACUGCGGGACUGCUUUGGAAACUGCCCGGCUAGAGUGCUGGAGAGGUAAGCGGAAUUCCUAGUGUAGCGGUGAAAUGCGUAGAUAUUAGGAGGAACACCAGUGGCGAAGGCGGCUUGCUGGACAGUAACUGACGUUGAGGCUCGAAAGCGUGGGGAGCAAACAGGAUUAGAUACCCCUGUACG